rnacentral:rRNA from 1 species
GAUGAACGCUGGCGGCGUGCUUAACACAUGCAAGUCGAACGGUGAAGCAGGAGCUUGCUCCUGUGGAUCAGUGGCGAACGGGUGAGUAACACGUGAGUAACCUGCCCCAGACUCUGGGAUAAGCGUUGGAAACGACGUCUAAUACCGGAUACGGGACGAGAAGGCAUCUUCAUCGUCUGGAAAGAAUUUCGGUCUGGGAU